CCUACGGGAGGCAGCAGUGGGGGAUAUUGCACAAUGGGGGGAACCCUGAUGCAGCGACGCCGCGUGGGUGAAGGAGUGCUUCGGCGUGUAAAGCCCUAUCGGCAGGGAAGAAGCAAGACGGUACCUGACUAAGAAGCCCCGGCUAACUACGUGCCAGCAGCCGCGGUAAUACGUAGGGGGCGAGCGUUAUCCGGAUUCACUGGGUGUAACGGGUGCGUAGACGGCCAUGCAAGCCAGGGGUGAAAGCCCGGGGCCCAACCCCGGGACUGCCCUUGGAACUGCAUGGCUGGAGUGCGGGAGGGGCAGGCGGAAUUCCUGGUGUAGCGGUGAAAUGCGUAGAUAUCAGGAGGAACACCGGCGGCGAAGGCGGCCUGCUGGACCGCGACUGACGUUGAGGCUCGAAAGCGUGGGGAGCGAACAGGAUUAGAUACCCGGGUAGUC
rnacentral:rRNA from 1 species